CAGUCGCCGCGGUAAUACGAAGGGUGCAAGCGUUACUCGGAAUUACUGGGCGUAAAGCGUGCGUAGGUGGUGGUUUAAGUCCGUUGUGAAAGCCCUGGGCUCAACCUGGGAAUUGCAGUGGAUACUGGCAAGCUAGAGUGUGUCAGAGGAUGGUGGAAUUCCCGGUGUAGCGGUGAAAUGCGUAGAGAUCGGGAGGAACAUCAGUGGCGAAGGCGGCCAUCUGGGACAACACUGACGCUGAGGCACGAAAGCGUGGGGAGCAAACAGGAUUAGAUACCCCCGUAGUCCCUGUCUCUUAUAC
rnacentral:rRNA from 1 species